GAUGAAUGCUAGCGGCAGGCCUAACACAUGCAAGUCGAGGGGUAGCAGGAUUAAGCUUGCUUAAUUGCUGACGACCGGCGCACGGGUGCGUAACGCGUAUGCAACCUACCUUAUACUGGGGUAUAGCCCGGAGAAAUUCGGAUUAAUCCCCCAUAGUACUAAUGAAUCGCAUGGUUUAUUAGUUAAAGCAUUGCGGUAUAAGAUGGGCAUGCGUCCUAUUAGCUAGAUGGUGAGGUAACGGCUCACCAUGGCUACGAUAGGUAGGGGGCCUGAGAGGGUGGUCCCCCACACUGGUACUGAGACGCGGACCAGACUCCUACGGGAGGCAGCAGUGAGGAAUAUCGGUCAAUGGGCGCAAGCCUGAACCAGCCAUGCCGCGUGCAGGAAGAAUGCCCUAUGGGUUGUAAACUGCUUUUAUUUGGGAAUAAACCUCUUUACGUGUAGAGAGCUGAAGGUACCAAAUGAAUAAGCACCGGCUAACUCCGUGCCAGCAGCCGCUGUAA
rnacentral:rRNA from 1 species